rnacentral:rRNA from 1 species
AGUGAACGCUGGCGGUAGGCCUAACACAUGCAAGUCGAACGGCAGCACAGGAGAGCUUGCUCUCUGGGUGGCGAGUGGCGGACGGGUGAGGAAUACAUCGGAAUCUACUCUGUCGUGGGGGAUAACGUAGGGAAACUUACGCUAAUACCGCAUACGACCUACGGGUGAAAGCAGGGGACCUUCGGGCCUUGCGCGAUUGAAUGAGCCGAGGUCGGAUUAGAUAGUUGGCGGGGUAAAGGCCCACCAAGGCGACGAUCCGUAGCUAGUCUGAGAGGAUGAUCCGCCACACUGGAACUGAGACACGGUCGAGACUCCUACGGGAGGCAUCAGUGGGGAAUAUUGGACAAUGGGCGCAAGCUUGAUCCAUCCAUACCGCGUGUGUGAAGAAGGCCUUCGGGUUGUAAAGCCCUUUUGUUGGGAAAGAAAUCCAGCUGGCUAAUACCCGGUUGGGAUGACGGUACCCAAAGAAUAAGCACCGGCUAACUUCGUGCCAGCCGCCGCCGUAA